rnacentral:rRNA from 1 species
AACAAACGCUGGCAGCGUGCCUAAUACAUGCAAGUCGAACGGGGAAAGCUUUCGGGUGAGUACUAGUGGCGCACGGGUGAGUAACGCGUGGAUAAUCUGCCUUAGAGUGGGGGAUAACUAGUCGAAAGAUUAGCUAAUACCGCAUAAGACCACAAGAACUGCGGUUCAAGAGGUCAAAGGUUUUUCGCUCUAAGAUGAGUCCGCGUAAGAUUAGCUAGUUGGUGAGGUAACGGCUCACCAAGGCAACGAUCUUUAACUGGUCUGAGAGGAUGAUCAGUCACACUAGAACUGAGACACGGUCCAGACUCCUACGGGAGGCAGCAGUAGGGAAUAUUGCACAAUGGAGGAAACUCUGAUGCAGCGACGCCGCGUGAGUGAUGAAGGCCUUCGGGUCGUAAAGCUCUGUCGCAGGGGAAUAACACAAUGAAUGUACCCUGUAAGAAAGGAUCGGCUAACUUCGUGCCAGCAGCCGCCGUAAGAC